rnacentral:rRNA from 1 species
GAUCCUGGCUCAGGACGAACGCUGGCGGCGCGCCUAACACAUGCAAGUCGAACGGAGCUGAGAGGAGCUUGCUUUUCUUAGCUUAGUGGCGAACGGGUGGGUAACGCGUGAGUAACCUGCCCUGGAGUGGGGGACAACAGUUGGAAACGACUGCUAAUACCGCAUAAGCCCACGGUGCCGCAUGGCACUGCGGGAAAAGGAUUUAUUCGCUUCAGGAUGGACUCGCGUCCAAUUAGCUAGUUGGUG